UCCCGCGUCCCGUGUCCUGCGGGCACGCAAACGAGGAAAGUCCCCCCACCGUCCGGGCAGGCGACCGGGCGCAAGCCCGGGGCGGGAGACCGCCGGCACUGGAACAGAAACGAUACCGCUCCCCUCGAGUGAUGAGGUCCGCGAACCCGACCCGCGAGGGCGGGGAGUCACCGACCGAACGACGACGGGGGAGAACGGAUGGAACGGCCACCCUCGCCGGUGCAAGCCCGUGCCCCGACGCGAGAGCGUCGUAUGGUAGCCCGGACGCUACCGAGCUGUGCUCGGUACGCCCCCGGAUGUGAUCCGGGGACACGGGCGCGGGCGCUCAGCCGAAUGCCGGGCCGAACAGAAGGGGGCUU
rnacentral:RNase_P_RNA from 1 species